UGGGGGAUAUUGCACAAUGGGCGAAAGCCUGAUGCAGCGACGCCGCGUGGGGGAUGAAGGCUUUCGGGUUGUAAACCUCUUUCGCUAUCGAACAAGGCCCGCUUAGGGUGGGUUGAGGGUAGGUGGAGAAGAAGCGCCGGCUAACUACGUGCCAGCAGCCGCGGUAAUACGUAGGGCGCGAGCGUUGUCCGGAAUUAUUGGGCGUAAAGGGCUUGUAGGCGGAUUGUUGCGCCUGCUGUGAAAACGCGGGGCUUAACUGCGCGCGUGCAGUGGGUACGGGCAGGCUUGAGUGUGGUAGGGGUGACUGGAAUUCCAGGUGUAGCGGUGGAAUGCGCAGAUAUCUGGAGGAACACCGAUGGCGAAGGCAGGUCACUGGGCCAUUACUGACGCUGAGGAGCGAAAGCAUGGGUAGCGAACAGG
rnacentral:rRNA from 1 species